GAUGAACGCUAACGGCAGGCCUAACACAUGCAAGUCGUGGGGUAGCAGGAUUAAGCUUGCUUAAUUGCUGACGACCGGCGCACGGGUGCGUAACGCGUAUGCAACCUACCUUAUACUGGGGUAUAGCCCGGAGAAAUUCGGAUUAAUCCCCCAUAGUACUAAUGAAUCGCAUGGUUUAUUAGUUAAAGCAUUGCGGUAUAAGAUGGGCAUGCGUACUAUUAGCUAGAUGGUGAGGUAACGGCUCACCAUGGCUACGAUAGGUAGGGGGCCUGGGAUGGUGGGACCCCACACUGGUACUGAGACACGGACCAGACUCCUACGGGAGGCAGCAGUGAGGAAUAUUGGUCAAUGGUCGCAAGCCUGAACCAGCCAUGCCGCGUGCAGGAAGAAUGCCCUAUGGGUUGUAAACUGCUUUUAUUUGGGAAUAAACCUCUUUACGUGUAGAGAGCUGAAGGUACCAAAUGAAUAAGCACCGGCCAACUCCGUGCCAGCCGCCGCAGUAA
rnacentral:rRNA from 1 species